rnacentral:rRNA from 1 species
AGCGAACGCUGGCGGCAGGCUUAACACAUGCAAGUCGAACGCCCGUAGCAAUACGGGAGUGGCAGACGGGUGAGUAACACGUGGGAACGUGCCCUUCAGUUCGGAACAACCCAGGGAAACUUGGGCUAAUACCGGAUACGUCCGUAAGGAGAAAGAUUUAUCGCUGAAGGAUCGGCCCGCGUCUGAUUAGCUAGUUGGUGAGGUAACGGCUCACCAAGGCGACGAUCAGUAGCUGGCUGAGAGGACGAUCAGCCACACUGGGACUGAGACACGGCCCAGACUCCUACGGGAGGCAGCAGUGGGGAAUCUUGGACAAUGGGCGCAAGCCUGAUCCAGCCAUGCCGCGUGAGUGAUAAGGCCUUAGGGUUGUAAAGCUCUUUCGGUGGGAAGAUAAUGACGGUACCCACAGAAGAAGCCCCGGCUAACUUCGUGCCAGCCGCCGCCGUAAC